GGACUCUCUGCCUUCCAUCCGGAUUUCUCCAUGUAGCCUAAACACGUCGCCGCCACCCGUUUCGCCUUGAUUCGGGCCUCCAAUGGAUCAGACGGGACUCCCAGCUCUGCCGGACGAGACGACGCGCUCGCCGACAUCCUCCGUCGCCUCCCACCGCGCGAUCUCGCCGCCUCCCGCUGCGUCCGCAAGGCAUGGCGCGCCGUCGUCGACGACAACCGGCUCCUGCUCCCGCGCACUCGCUGCACGGCCUCUUCAUCAACUACAUCGACUGCAGGCGCCCGCACUUUUAAGCCCGCCCCUCCGGCAAGCGGCCUGCGAUCAACGGCAAUUUCCUGCCCGGUGACCCGUACGAUUUCGACCCAGUCGUGGAUCACUGCAACGGCCUCGUGCUUUACGGCGCAUUCCGGGCGUUCUGUGUGGCCAACCCUGCCACGAGACGGUGGGACAAUCUUCCCCGCCGCCGCGACGAUAGUAUGAACUGCCACGCCUGCCUUGUGUUUGACCCUGCCGUCUCACCGCCCUACGAGGUGUUCUCGGUCCCAGACUUGCCUCAGGAGACAGGAAGCUGCAGGUGUUCACGUCCAGCACAAGGCGAGAGAGGUCGUUUGUGCGCCAAGGCGAGGCUGCAGAGACAGUGAAAUUUUUUCAACCAGAUGCAUUGGAGCCAUAUGUGGGUCGCGGGGGCCCGAGGUGGCGCUACAGUGUGUACUGGCAAGGAUCACUCUACGUGCAUUGCCGUGGUUCAUUUGUCGCGAGGUUAUCUUUGCCGGAUGCUAAGUACCAAGUACCUAGGGGCUAGGGAGUAAUACAAAGCCCAAUAGAUAUUGCGGAAAGUAAACUACACUCGCAGUACCUAGGGAAAUCAGAAAAAGGGGUCUGCUUUGCAACGAUUCAUGACAGUUAUCAACUUCGGGUCUGGACCCUCGAUGAAUCAAGCGGACAGAUGGAUUGGGUGUUGAGGCAUCAUAUUGAUCUGAAGCCAUGGGCAACCUUAUAUUGGUCGGGAGACCUGAUGGGAUUUGACAAAACCUGGAUAUCUUAGAUGAAGGUGAUGAUUACCAUUAUGACGAGGAUGAGGAUGAUGAUGAAGGAGAAGAUGAAAAAGGAGAUGGUGAUGAAGAUCAAUAUACUGGAAUGCUCAUGAGGGAGAAUUUUGGAUGGAACUCUGAUGAUGAACAGUAUUCUGAAUAUUAAAGAUGGUUGUCGAAAUAUCGACGACGACUUCUACUUCCUUGGGUUUCACUCCUACAAAGAGGUAGUUUUCUUGGAGUUACCGUGGUUUGAAGAAGUUGCUUAUCAUUUAAAUAGCUCAAAAGUUCAGUACCGUGGCAAAUUGCGCCCAAAAGACUAUGUUAUACGACCUACAAAUGGCAUAUACGAAUCAUUUCCAUACACCCCUUGCAUGAUUGGGGAGCUUUCAAAUAGCGCCUCUUCUCGGAGAUUAGGCUCUUUGGGCGGCGAACAAUUUAAGGAAUGGUACGCUGAUGUUUAGGUCCUUGUUUUUAUUUAGGAAUAUCAAAUUUUCAAACAACUCCUGAUCAUUUUGUACAAUUUGAUCAUCUUAAGAUUUAGUCCGUGUUGUGGCUAUCAUUCGCUUAUUAUUUUGAUUA